CAAUAGCGUAUAUUAAAGUUGUUGCAGUUAGAACGCUCGUAGUCGGAUUUCGGGGCGGGCCGACCGGUCUGCCGAUGGGUACGCACUGGUCGGCGCGUCCUUCCUUCCGGAGACCGUGCCUACUCUUAACUGAGCGGGGGCGGGAGACGGAUCGUUUACUUUGAAAAAAUCAGAGUGUUUCAAGCAGGCAGCUCGCUCUUGCAUGGAUUAGCAUGGGAUAAUGAAAUAGGACUUUGGUGCUAUUUUGUUGGUUUCGAACACCGAAGUAAUGAUUAACAGGGGCAGUCAGGGGCACUCGUAUUCCGCCGAGAGAGGUGAAAUUCUCAGACCAGCGGAAGACGAACUACUGCGAAAGCAUUUGCCAGGGAUGUUUUCACUGA
rnacentral:rRNA from 1 species